UGCCCGGUAGUGUAAUGGUAACACACGAGGUUUUGGACCUUGCAUUCCAGGUUCGAGCCCUGGCCGGGCAG
rnacentral:tRNA from 1 species